GACGAACGCUGGCGGCGUGCUUAACACAUGCAAGUCGAACGGUGAAGGGGCCUGCUUUUGUGGGUCCUGGAUGAGUGGCGAACGGGUGAGUAACACGUGAGUAACCUGCCCCCUUCUUCUGGAUAACCGCAUGAAAGUGUGGCUAAUACGGGAUAUUCUGGGUCUGUCGCAUGGUGGGCCUGGGAAAGAUUGCGCCUUUUUUGGUGUUUUUGGUGGGGGAUGGGCUCGCGGCCUAUCAGCUUGUUGGUGGGGUGAUGGCCUACCAAGGCGGUGACGGGUAGCCGGCCUGAGAGGGUGGACGGUCACACUGGGACUGAGACACGGCCCAGACUCCUACGGGAGGCAGCAGUGGGGAAUAUUGCACAAUGGGCGCAAGCCUGAUGCAGCGACGCCGCGUGAGGGAUGGAGGCCUUCGGGUUGUGAACCUCUUUCGCCAGUGAAGCAGGCCUCC
rnacentral:rRNA from 1 species